AGAACUGCCCGGCGGCCUCUUCUGCUCAUGUGCCGUUGCCAGUGCGCUACCUACCGUGCUUUCCAGUUUUCUGCCUAGUCUGUGCUCCAGUUCUGUAGGCUGUUCCGGGGAAAGAGUCUUGCAGCGUCCGGAACCCGCCUUUCCGCGGUCACCUGGGCGAAGCGGGUGCACCCGCAAGUUAAAGGGUUGGCAGGGAGCUCCAAGCCCUCGGGGCUGGGGGCGAAGGGCUGGGCGGAGCUGGCCUUGGUCCGCGGAGAGUGGACGCGCUCUCUGCCAGCAUCCCUUCCCUGAGCUUUGAUGUCAUCAUUCUUGGUUCCCUUCUUCGAAGAUGAACAAAUCCCAGGUAAGUUGUUUAGGGAUUUACUUCCCACGUUUUGGAGUGGAUCUCAAGAAAUUUGAGAAAUGGAGUUGGUCAUGGAUAGAUCAUGCCUGCUUGAUGAUGCUGCCUGCAUAAAAAUCCCAACAGAAUGGGGUUUGGAGAGCUUCCAAGUAGAGUUGCUGGUUGAAUGACAGGCCCAGAAACCCCAGGCCCCUUCCCACAUACCUUGCCCUACACAUCUCUUCCAUCUGAAUGUUCAUCUGUAUCCCUAUUUUCCUUUUACAAUAAGCUGUUCACCUGAGUUGCUCUAGCAACUUGCUCAAGCAAGUUCUGUGAAUUUCUCAGGCAAACUCUAGCAGGGAGUGGGGUGUGGUCAGAGGAACUUCUGAUUUAGAGCCAAACUACCAAAGCACACUUAAACUUGGGAUUUGAAGUUAGGGAUGAGGGGCAGUCUUUUGGGAUUUGGGUCCUUAACCUGUGGUAUCUGACACAAUCCCCAGGUAGAUAGUCAGAACUGGGCUGAAUUAUGACCCCCAAGCAAUAUCACAGAAUGGCUUGGUGUGGGAAAACCCCCCACAUAUCUGGUGCAAGGAGUGUCAGUGUGGUGGUAGUGAGAGAGUAAAGGAGAACACAGGUGAACUGAGUUUUUCCUGCACGCGGGGGUUAAGACUUAAUGUAUCUUUCAUCGGGGGCCAGGGGGUAGCUCACGUCAACACCCUGUUGGAUUCUAUCCUCAAAUGUGUGACAGUGAAAACUCAAUUUAAAUAAGGAAUUAAUUAUUAAAAGCAAAAAGAAAAAGUUGCACACACAAAGUUAGUGUUUAGAUGACAUUUUAAAUCUCUAUAUAAGCAUUUCUUGCUCUCUUUCCAUUUAUCAUACCAACAACUCUUAUUAUUUUCUUAAACAGUAGAAAUAUCUUAUGUGGUUUUAAUGUUAAAAUCCAAUAGGAAAUUUUUUCAGCUGAAACUUUCCAAUGAGAAUGUCUUGAAUGGCCUAACUUUUGCAUAAUGGCUAUUUCCUGUUUUUAUUUUCUAACUUUUUCCUUUUUCGUGUAAUUAGAGACUUAAGAUUUAUAGUGAUUAUUCCCAGGAAUCAUGGCAACAGAUAUUAAAAAGUUGCCAUUUCCUUCUCCAGGGAUCGAACCCAGGUCUCCCACAUUGCAGGCAGAUGCUUUAACCUCUGAGCCACCAGGAAAGCCACCCCCCGCCUCAAAAAAGACAUUUAUUGGAAUCUAGGUUUCUAUUGAAUCUGUUAGCAAAUUUGGAAUACUAGACUUUUUAGAACAAGCUGUUUGGUUAAGCUUCUUUCUUUCCUCCUUAUAAUAUAGACUCCAGAGUUAAGAGCCAUGUUGGAAAUUCUUAAUAUAUUUUAAACACAUAGAAUAGUUCCCAUUUAAUUUGACUCUAAACCAGAAUUUUAAAGACCGAAGGAGUAAUUGCCCAAUUUUCCCCUCCUUAUCCCAAUAACCAUUUUACAUUUUCAUAAUUGCAUUGAUCACAUUUAUUUUAUACUCAUCUUUUAAACAUAUUCAGUUGCAUUUUCAUUGUAUAUAACUCAACAGACACAUAAUUUUAUAGGUUAUUUGCAAAAAGUGAGCUUAUGUCCAUACCCUUUCUUAGAGAUUAAAAAAAAAAAAGCACAUAAGGAAUGAACAUGGGAUGAGGAGCUGCCUCCAAUGAUUACA